rnacentral:lncRNA from 1 species
UUUAGCAAGAAAUUAUAAAUGCCUACCAUUUUUCCAGUGCUGAAUUAAGAACCAGAGAUACAAAGAUAAAUGAAAUAAUGCCUGGCCUUAUAGAGCUUAUGUUCUACUGGACAGAAAGAAAAGAAAACCAAUGAAAUAAGAAGAGUUCUUCUAGAAGUUAUGUCAAACUAUCAAGUCUGCAACCAAGGAGAAAUCUACAUACAUUCACCUGCCUCCUGUCACUGGUUAUCCACCAGGUGAUUUAGAAGACAGGACACAAAUGUUUCUAAGGUCCUGUGAAAGAAAACGUUGUCAUAGGGGAGAGGAGGGAGACAAAAACUGGAGACUGCCGGCACAUACUUACCUCUGACAUCACGCUUGGGCUUUUUAUCUUCAUUCCUUUUUAUUUCCCUGCUACCAACUAAGAUUGAACAUGAACUCACACCAUGGUUUUAACGAUGAAUAGAAACACUGAGAUAAUCAGACACAGCAAGAGUAUGGGCAAGAACCUCCAAGAGGACUCAGGGAAGCCAAAUUAGCCAUUUUUUUGUCACUCUCAAACAGCGAUUACAAGUCUCUCCCAGAGUAAGUUUUUUC